GAAGCCGCCAUUUUGAAAAUCCUCUACUCUCCUCUCUUGCAAUGCGUCGCUCUCAUUCGCUAAGGAAAAGCGGGAAGUACGACUACGGAGAAAUUGGAAAGACUUAAUUCGCAAGGGAAGGGAAGGGAAGGGAAGGGAAGGCAAAGGCAGCUUUUUGAAGAAACAAGAAAGCUUUAUGAUAAUGGCAACUUGGGUGGUGGUGGUGGUGUUGUUAGUGCUGGUGUUUAUCACAUGGGUUGG
rnacentral:misc_RNA from 1 species